CAUUUUAAGUAUUUGUUACAAUUAUAAUUAUAAUUUAUUUAACUACAUCUAAGCAUCUCUGAUCAUCGUUGUUGUAAUGACAAAUUUAUAAAGCUCAAUUAAACCAAAGCCAAUCCAAUAGAAAAAGAUGUGUUAUUUAUUAAUUAAAACUAACUUUUUCUUUUUUGCAGAAGUAGAGAGCACACAAGGAUGAGACAUUGGAAGCCUUUGCAAGAAGGUGAUAUAUUCAAUGUUGAUAUAACAGUUUAUCUUAAUGGCUAUCUCGGCGAUUGCUCAAGUUGGUGAGGAAGCUAUUCAACUUCUGUAUAAAGUAAUGCAAGUUCUUUUUUACAGAGACGCAAGAUCUUUCCCAAAGGUACAUUAACAAAAUUCCUAUGUAUAUAUCUUACAGACCAAUAAUUUCAACUACAUUGUUAACAAUCUGCUUGCCCUGCUUUUCAGUAUCAUUUUGCCAUUAUCACGAAAGAAAAAGAAGUUGAAAAACAAGGGCCGCUAACUUUGGAGAGCUAUUAGGGACCUGCAAUUCUAUAAAAUUUUUUUCUUAUUUAAAAUAAACUUAAUAAAAAAUCUAGAGUAAAGAUCCAUUUCUUUAAUUGAAUAAAUUGAAAGAAGUUUUCAAUUAUAUAUUUAUUUGCAUUACAUGUACAAAAGACUAAGAAAAUAUUGAUUCUGGUAACCGUAUUGAUAAUCUUCAUUCUAACAGACAUAAAUUUUACCUAACUUUUAUUUUUACAUAUAAAAACACAAGAUAGUACUUGUAAGAUUAAAACGCAUAUGUGCAAAUUAAUUUAUGUAUGCUAAAAAUAAUAUAUUUCAUAGGUACUUUUUAUAUAAAAUAGCAAUAAUAUUGAUUGUACAUUAAAGUGUUAGCACUUUGCA